rnacentral:lncRNA from 1 species
CCAACCCUAAUCAUUCUAACCAAAUAGCCGCCCUAAGAUCCCAUUCGUCUCUCAAAUCCCCUCAAGCCUCUCCAAAACCCUAGCCAUAUUUUAUCGAUCUCCAACCUUGUUUUACCGGAGACUAUGGCUUCUCAGACCUUGAGCAUCCUGUACCUACCCCUACAUACCUCUAUGCUCUAAUUGCUCGAGGUUUCAUAGUCCGACUUUGAAGACCUCAGCUCAAAAUCUCUCUGAUUCAAGUUCUAUGGUCAUCUCCGGCUCAUAUCCGACGAGUCUUAGCCCUAUGAGUCCAUCUCCAACUCAGGGCCAGCCCGUUCCAGGACUUUCUCAUUUUCUAGGGUUUUCUCUGAAGCCCUAAG